UACGUAGGGUGCAAGCGUUAAUCGGAAUUACUGGGCGUAAAGCGUGCGCAGGCGGCUAUGCAAGACAGAUGUGAGAUCCCCGGGCUCAACCUGGGAACUGCAUUUGUGACUGCAUGGCUAGAGUACGGUAGAGGGGGAUGGAAUUCCGCGUGUAGCAGUGAAAUGCGUAGAUAUGCGGAGGAACACCGAUGGCGAAGGCAAUCCCCUGGACCUGUACUGACGCUCAUGCACGAAAGCGUGGGGAGCAAACAGG
rnacentral:rRNA from 1 species